CCUACGUGUGGCAGCAGUGGGGAAUAUUGCACAAUGGGGGAAACCCUGAUGCAGCAACGCCGCGUGAAGGAAGACGGUUUUCGGAUUGUAAACUUCUGUUCUUAGUGAAGAAUAAUGACGGUAGCUAAGGAGCAAGCCACGGCUAACUACGUGCCAGCAGCCGCGGUAAUACGUAGGUGGCAAGCGUUGUCCGGAAUUACUGGGUGUAAAGGGAGCGCAGGCGGAAGCCAAGUCAGCUGUGAAAACUACGGGCUUAACUUGGAGACUGCAGGUGAAACUGGUUUUCUUGAGGGGAGUAGAGGGUGGGCGAAAUUCGGGGUGAGCGGGGAAA
rnacentral:rRNA from 1 species